GCAGCGGCGGCGCGGGGGCGCCGCCCUGGAGCUCCAUGAACGCGGCCAGGCCCUGCUGGAACUCAGCCACAGAGGAAGCCGCGACCAGGUCCUUCUCCUGCCGCUGCAGCG
rnacentral:SRP_RNA from 11 species